rnacentral:rRNA from 1 species
UACGUAGGGUGCAAGCGUUAAUCGGAAUUACUGGGCGUAAAGCGUGCGCAGGCGGUUCUAUAAGACAGAUGUGAAAUCCCCGGGCUUAACCUGGGAACUGCGCUUGUAACUAGCAGGCUAGAGUGCGGCAGAGGGGGGUGGAAUUCCACGUGUAGCAGUGAAAUGCGUAGAGAUGUGGAGGAACACCGAUGGCGAAGGCAGCCCCCUGGGU